CGCCACCAUCUUGAAUAUGGGCAGCGCGAGUUACUUCUGGGCGCUAAUCAUUUUCGCAGGCUCUCAGUGAUGAAAUAUUCCUGUCACUGGAUCACGCUAUUACUGUAUCUGAAGCGAAAAAAAAAAAACACUUCCAGCCCGAGAUAAUGGGCAACAGGAAUAAAACAGUGAAAAUUACAAACUGUAAAAAGGAAGACAAAUCUUGUCUCUACCAUUGCAGAGAAGCAAGACUGAACACAACACAUUGAAGAUCAAUACAUAUUUGAAUUUGAGAACGAGGAUUUAAUGUUACAAUAUUAUACACUACUUUACAAAAUUAAAAUUUCUAUAGAAGGAU